rnacentral:misc_RNA from 1 species
GCUGAAGAACGCAGCAAAAUGCGAUACUUGGUGUGAAUUGCAGAAUCCCGUGAACCAUCGAGUUUUUGAACGCAAGUUGCGCCCGAAGCCUUUUGGCCGAGGGCACGUCUGCCUGGGCGUCACGCAUCGCGUCGCCCCCCACAAUUCUCCGUAAAGGGAACGUGUGUUUUGGGGGCGGAUAUUGGUCUCCCGUGCUCAUGGCGUGGUUGGCCGAAAUAGGAGUCCUUUCGAUGGACGCACGAACUAGUGGUGGUCGUAAAAACCCUCGUCUUUUGUUUCGUGCUGUUGCUCGCAAGGUAAACUCUUUAAAAACCCCAAUGUGUCGUCUCUUGACGACGCUUCGACCGCGACCCCAGGUCAGGCGGGACUACCCGCUGAGUUUAAGCAUAUCAAUAAGCGGAGGA